AUGAACGCUGGCGGCGUGCCUAACACAUGCAAGUCGAACGGGGUAUAUGCGCUGAUGAUCGAAGUGCUGCGUAGAGAGAAUCUUGUGUAUACUUAGUGGCGGACGGGUGAGUAACGUGUGGAUAACCUGGUCCAUCCAGGGGGAUAGCAGCUGGAAACGGCUGGUAAUACCGCAUAAGCGCACAGUAAGGCAUCUUACAGUGUGAAAAAGAUUUAUCGGGAUGGAAUGGAUCCGCAUCUGAUUAGCCAGUUGGCGGGGUAGAAGCCCACCAAAGCGACGAUCAGUAGCCGGCCUGAGAGGGCGGACGGCCACAUUGGGACUGAGACACGGCCCAGACUCCUACGGGAGGCAGCAGGUGGGGGAUAUUGCACAAGUGGGGGGAACCCUGAAUGCAGCGACGCCGCGUGGGUGAAGAAGUUAUUUCGGUAUAGUUAAAGCCCUAUCAGCAGGGAAGAUAAUGACGGUACCUGAGUAAGAACGCCCCGGCUAACUACGUGCCAGCCGCUGC
rnacentral:rRNA from 1 species